GAUAGUAUAGCUCAGUGGUAGAGUGCAUGCAUGUCUAGCGUGCAUGAGGUUCUGGGUUCAAUCCCCCGUACCUCCA
rnacentral:tRNA from 1 species